UGGGGUAUCUUGCACAAUGGGGGAAACCCUGAUGCAGCGACGCCGCGUGAGCGAUGAAGGUUUUCGAAUCGUAAAGCUCUGUCCUAUGGGAAGAUAAUGACGGUACCAUAGGAGGAAGCCCCGGCUAACUACGUGCCAGCAGCCGCGGUAAUACGUAGGGGGCGAGCGUUGUCCGGAAUUACUGGGCGUAAAGGGUUCGCAGGCGGCAUGACAAGUCCGAUGUAAAAGGCGAAAGCUCAACUUUCGUAAGCAUCGGAAACUGUCAAGCUUGAGUGAAGGAGAGGCAAGUGGAAUUCCUAGUGUAGCGGUGGAAUGCAUAGAUAUUAGGAGGAAUACCGGUGGCGAAGGCGACUUGCUGGACUUCAACUGACGCUGAGGAACGAAAGCGUGGGUAGCAAACAGG
rnacentral:rRNA from 1 species